AGAGUUUGAUCCUGGCUCAGAACGAACGCUGGCGGCGUGCCUAACACAUGCAAGUCGAUCGGAGAUAAGGGGCUUGCUCCUUAUUUUAGUGGCGCACGGGUGAGUAACGCGUGGAUAAUCUACCUUGGAAUCUGGGAUAACAUUUCGAAAGGGGUGCUAAUACCGGAUAAGACCACGAUCUCUUUGGAGAUUGCGGUAAAAGGGGGCCUCUGUAUAUGCUUCUGUUUCAAGAUGAGUCCGCGUACCAUUAGCUAGUUGGCAGGGUAAUGGCCUACCAAGGCGACGAUGGUUAGCUGGUCUGAGAGGAUGAUCAGCCACACUGGAACUGAGACACGGUCCAGACUCCUACGGGAGGCAGCAGUGGGGAAUUUUGCGCAAUGGGGGAAACCCUGACGCAGCAACGCCGCGUGAGUGAUGAAGGCCUUCGGGUCGUAAAGCUCUGUCAGAGGGAAAGAAGUGUAUGGCGGUUAAUACCC
rnacentral:rRNA from 1 species